ACAGUGGUAAUUCCUACGAUUAAGAAACCUGUUUGCAAAAGGGCCCUCUACACUGGGGGUCAUAGUAUAUUUAUCAGGUGGGAAAUUCGGUGGAACACAGUGGAGCCUCGUACUCCGGGCCGCCGUCUUUGACAGUGGCCCCUGCUCCUGAGAGAAGAUACUGGGGAACCAGUCUUAACCGACCGUUGUUAUCAGAAAUUAAACGGAGCCCAGUUUACAACCGGGCUCCGAUGGGAACGGCAACGGUUGUUCCGUUUGACUUGACACUUGCCGUCGCGCGGGUGCCAAGGUCUGUUGAGUGCAAUCGUAGGACGCCAUUCAUGGCGAACCCGAUACCGAUUACUGCCACUGU
rnacentral:RNase_P_RNA from 2 species